rnacentral:lncRNA from 1 species
CUGCUUCCCUUUCUCAGCACUGUUUCGGAGGUGCUGAGUUACUGACCUCAGGUUGCAACUGGUCAGAAUGCAACAAGUUGUGUUACCGAAGAGGAAAUAGAUAGUCAUCACAUUUUUAUUAGAAACGUGUGCAUCUCUCUUUAUCUGCUUGGUUUGUAUCGAGAUCUACUGAAGGAAUUAAUUUGUUUUCUGAGAUGAAUGAGUGAACAUGUCAGCUGUGCCAGGAGAAGGAAUUACUUUCCUGAAGCUGCCUGUCUGUCGGAGAUUAUCUGUCCCAUUGGUUAAAUAGCAGGGACUGCUGAGAACUUGCAUAGUCACUACAACUAAAAGUAGCCAGAUUCACAUACACUUUUAAAAUAGUUGAUCUUUGAUAGCUUUGCUCAGGUUGUGAGUGUAGCCUUAGAAAUUGUAGAAACAAAUUUUUUUACCAAAUGUCGAGUGCUGUCCGUAUCUGAUUACAGAUAUGCUAGAGAUACAGCAAACAUAUCUUUUAAUUCUGGUGGCUAAGGCUGAUGUAGAAAGUGAAUCAACACAUGGUAAAAAGUGGCUGGAGAUAAUGUGGAACAAAGACAACAGCCAAACUAAAGCGGAGGGAAAACUGUAGAAGGGAAGAAGAUUUGCUACGUUGGGCCAGAAGAGGCAGGCUGGGCUGCCGCUAUACGUACAUUCUUUGCUCUUUUAAUUCAAGAAAUCUGAAGAGGAUGUACUAUCUGGUUAAUGAAACUCAUUCAACAUGGCUCCCAGGAAAGAUAAAUCUCCAGGUUUCCUUCGGAGCUGGAUGGAGGACGGUCGAUGCGAUACGGGAGAAUCUGGAUCCCAAGAAGAUCCACAGAAGUAAAGAAGCAAUCUGGUGCCUGGUGCUCUUCAGAACUCACGCAUGAAUAGCUAGUGGAAAUACCCAAACCAGAUUAAUAGGCAUCCCCUGGCUUUAUAGUACAGUGGGAUCAAUGAUUGGUGAGGCAAAACCAAGGGGCCAGAAAGCAGAAGAUGGAGGCAAUGUGGUACUAUUUAUCUGAGGAACUGAACAGAAAAGGGGAAAGAAAGGGUAAGGAGUGUGGAGAUUGAUUAUGAAAUUUGCCUGGAAGAGGGUGAAAUCACUGACAGGAUUGCGUCUGAGUUUCUCUGCUUCUUAUGCAUAGAGAUAGCAUACAAACAGAUGGUAGCAUGCGGAGUGUUUCCAGAGCUCCUUUGCAUAACUAAAUUAAAGGUGCAAGGAAAAGAGGAAAUUGCUGUACAAGAGUUCAUAUUCAUUACUGUUUGCAUAGAUGAUAAACUAUAACAUUGGUUCAAGCUUCAAGACUUCUAAGUGUCUUGAUUUUUCUAAAAGUGUAUGUGUACUGCUGUCAUGUUUCUGAUAAAUGACUAUGAAUGUGCUAUGAAUGAUGAAUGUCAGCAUUGAUGUCUGUGGUAUCCAUUUUUGUAAUGUUUUUAAUAAUUUGUCUCAAUCCUUGGUGUUCUUAAUUGCUUCAUUUUUUUUAAUUAUUAUUAUUUUAUUUUUUUUAGCAGGCAACCAACACUGAGCUUUGUAUAGGAUAAGGAAAAUUUUAUGUAACAACAUGAUAUUUUCAUCAUUCUUUUCUAUCUCAUGCUGUGAGUAAUCUAACACAUGGCUUACACGAUAUUACUGAAGUAGGAGCUGAGAAGCUGAUGGUGACGUGCAGAUCACUUUUCAAAUAAGAGUGAUUAAUUCAUCUGUUAAAAUGUUGUUAAAAUCUGCUUAAAUUAA